CCUACGGGAGGCAGCAGUGAGGAAUAUUGGUCAAUGGACGGAAGUCUGAACCAGCCAUGCCGCGUGCAGGAAGACGGCCCUAUGAGUUGUAAACUGCUUUUGUACAAGGGUAAACCUGAAUACGUGUAUUCAGCUGAAAGUACUGUACGAAUAAGGAUCGGCUAACUCCGUGCCAGCAGCCGCGGUAAUACGGAGGAUCCAAGCGUUAUCCGGAUUUAUUGGGUUUAAAGGGUGCGUAGGCGGAUUGAUAAGUUAGAGGUGAAAUGUCCGGGCUUAACUCGGGAACUGCCUCUAAUACUGUUGAGCUAGAGAGUAGAUGCGGUAGGCGGAAUAAAUUGAGUAGCGGUGAAAUGCUUAGAGAUAAUACAGAACACCGAUAGCGAAGGCAGCUUACCAGUCUAUAUCUGACGUUGAGGCACGAGAGCGUGGGGAGCAAACAGGAUUAGAUACCCCAGUAGUC
rnacentral:rRNA from 1 species